CACGGCAAAAGCAAAACCAUGGGCAACAUAUACAACCAUUCCUCUCUCUCCUCAUAAACCCUCUCUCUCCAAAAAUCAAAACCUUCUCCUUCCCCCAAAAAUCCAAAAUCAAAAUCCAAAACUUAGGAUGAGAAAGAAGGAAAAGCCGAUCGGAUAUGUUAGGAAACAAUUGACCCAUCAUCUUUACCUCUCAGAGCUCACCUUACUCUCCAUCUGACAAACCAAGGAAAGGAAACUCGUACAAUGAUGAAGAAGCCAAAAUUCUUGACGGCUUGCAAGGCUGACCAGCGGUUGCACUUCAAAUCCAAGGAUUGUAUUAGUGGAAAUUCAAUUUCAUUCCAGCCAAGCUAAAUAAGGUUGCUGUAAUGUUAGCUAAUUGUGCAGGGUUUUGAGACUGUCAGUUAUAGGUAUACUUUGUCUCAAAGCUAUUCAAUUACUUGAUUACUAUUAGGUUUAAUUGUAAAGAAAUUGAAGUUGAGUUUUUUGGAUUUUAA